AAAGUCGUAACAAGGUUUCCGUAGGUGAAACCUGCGGAAGGAUCAUUACCGAGUUCAGGGUGCUGUAAAAAAGCGCCCGACCUCCAACCCUUUGACUACGAACAAUGUUGCCUCGGCGGGCCGCGGGCCUCUGUUUUUUAGAGCCUCGGCUCUAAAAAUUAGGGAUCACGCCUCCGGCUUUAGGGCCUCUGAGUGCCCGUCGAUGGAACCUUCAAAAACCAUUUCAAAAAUCAGUCUUCUGAGUGAAUUUAAAUACUUCAAAA
rnacentral:misc_RNA from 1 species